rnacentral:rRNA from 1 species
UGGGGAAUAGUUGGACAAUGGGCGAAAGCCUGAUCCAGCAAUGCCGCGUGUGUGAAGAAGGUCUUCGGAUUGUAAAGCACUUUCGACGGGGACGAUGAUGACGGUACCCGUAGAAGAAGCCCCGGCUAACUUCGUGCCAG